GACUCUGUGUGUGUGUGUGUGUGUGUGUGUGUGUGUGUGUGUGUGUGUGCGCGUGUGUGUGUGCGUGCGCGCACGCACACAGGCCCGCACACCAG
rnacentral:pre_miRNA from 1 species